UACGUAGGUGGCAAGCGUUGUCCGGAUUUACUGGGCGUAAAGAGCGCGCAGGCGGUCGUUCAAGUCGCGUGUGAAAGCCCCCGGCUCAACUGGGGAGGGUCACGCGAUACUGAUCGACUCGAAGGCAGGAGAGGGUAGUGGAAUUCCCGGUGUAGUGGUGAAAUGCGUAGAUAUCGGGAGGAACACCAGUGGCGAAGGCGGCGAUCUGGACGGAUAUUGACGCUGAGGUGCGAAAGCGUGGGGAGCAAACAGG
rnacentral:rRNA from 1 species